rnacentral:rRNA from 1 species
GACGAACGCUGGCGGCGUGCUUAACACAUGCAAGUCGAACGGAAAGGCCCAGCUUGCUGGGUGCUCGAGUGGCGAACGGGUGAGUAACACGUGGGUGAUCUGCCCCUAACUUCGGGAUAAGCUUGGGAAACUGGGUCUAAUACCGGAUAGGACAAUCGUUUAGUGUCGGUUGUGGAAAGUUUUUUCGGUUAGGGGUGAGCCCGCGGCCUAUCAGCUUGUUGGUGGGGUAAUGGCCUACCAAGGCGUCGACGGGUAGCCGGCCUGAGAGGGUGGACGGCCACAUUGGGACUGAGAUACGGCCCAGACUCCUACGGGAGGCAGCAGUGGGGAAUAUUGCACAAUGGGCGCAAGCCUGAUGCAGCGACGCCGCGUGGGGGAUGACGGCCUUCGGGUUGUAAACCUCUUUCGACAGGGACGAAGCUUUGGUGACGGUACCUGUAUAAGAAGCACCGGCUAACUACGUG